rnacentral:rRNA from 1 species
AUACGGAGGGUGCAAGCGUUACUCGGAAUCACUGGGCGUAAAGCGCGCGCAGGCGGCUAUUUAAGUUGGAUGUGAAAGCCUAUGGCUCAACCAUAGAACUGCAUCCAAAACUAUUUAGCUAGAGUGUGGGAGAGGAAGAUGGAAUUAGUUGUGUAGGGGUAAAAUCCGUAGAGAUAACUAGGAAUACCAAAAGCGAAGGCAAUCUUCUGGAACACUACUGACGCUGAGGCGUGAAAGCGUGGGGAGCAAACAGGAUUAGAAACCCUAGUAGUCC